CCUACGGGGGGCAGCAGUGGGGGAUAUUGCACAAUGGGGGAAACCCUGAUGCAGCGACGCCGCGUGGGUGAAGAAGUAUUUCGGUAUGUAAAGCCCUAUCAGCAGGGAAGAAAGAAGACGGUACCUGACUAAGAAGCCCCGGCUAACUACGUGCCAGCAGCCGCGGUAAUACGUAGGGGGCGAGCGUUAUCCGGAUUCACUGGGUGUAAAGGGAGCGUAGACGGCCGUGCAAGCCAGGAGUGAAAGCCCGGGGCCCAACCCCGGGACUGCUCUUGGAACUGUGCGGCUGGAGUGCGGGAGGGGCAGGCGGAAUUCCUGGGGUAGCGGUGAAAUGCGUAGAUAUCAGGAGGAACACCGGCGGCGAAGGCGGCCUGCUGGACCGCGACUGACGUUGAGGCUCGAAAGCGUGGGGAGCGAACAGGAUUAGAUACCCCUGUAGUC
rnacentral:rRNA from 1 species